AGUGAACGCUGGCGGUAGGCCUAACACAUGCAAGUCGAACGGCAGCACAGUAAGAGCUUGCUCUUACGGGUGGCGAGUGGCGGACGGGUGAGGAAUACAUCGGAAUCUACUUUUUCGUGGGGGAUAACGUAGGGAAACUUACGCUAAUACCGCAUACGACCUACGGGUGAAAGCAGGGGAUCUUCGGACCUUGCGCGAUUGAAUGAGCCGAUGUCGGAUUAGCUAGUUGGGGGGGUAAAGGCCCACCAAGGCGAGGAUCCGUAGCGGGUCUGGGAGGAGGGGCAGCCACGCUGGAAUUGAGACGCGGUCCAGCCUCGUACGGGAGGCAGCAGUGGGGAAUAGUGGACAAUGGGCGGAAGCCUGAUCCAGCCAUGCCGCGGGGGGGAAGAAGGCCUGCGGGUUGUAAAGCCCUUUUGUUGGGAAAGAAAAGCAGCAGGUUAAUACCCCGCUGUUCGAACGGUACCCAAAGAAAAGGCACGGGCAAAUUUCGU
rnacentral:rRNA from 1 species